GGGCCGCACGCGCGCUACACUGACGGAGCCAGCGAGUACUAUNNNNCCUUGGCCGAGAGGUCNCGGGUAAUCUUGUGAAACUCCGUCGUGCUGGGGAUAGAGCAUUGCAAUUAUUGCUCUUCAACGAGGAAUUCCUAGUAAGCGCAAGUCAUCAGCUUGCGUUGAUUACGUCCC
rnacentral:rRNA from 3 species